rnacentral:rRNA from 1 species
GAUGAACGCUGGCGGCGUGCCUAAUACAUGCAAGUCGAGCGAACGGACGAGAAGCUUGCUUCUCUGAUGUUAGCGGCGGACGGGUGAGUAACACGUGGAUAACCUACCUAUAAGACUGGGAUAACAUCGGGAAACCGGAGCUAAUACCGGAUAAUAUUUUGAACCGCAUGGUUCAAAAGUGAAAGACGGUCUUGCUGUCACUUAUAGAUGGAUCCGCGCUGCAUUAGCUAGUUGGUAAGGUAACGGCUUACCAAGGCAACGAUGCAUAGCCGACCUGAGAGGGUGAUCGGCCACACUGGAACUGAGACACGGUCCAGACUCCUACGGGAGGCAGCAGUAGGGAAUCUUCCGCAAUGGGCGAAAGCCUGACGGAGCAACGCCGCGUGAGUGAUGAAGGUCUUCGGAUCGUAAAACUCUGUUAUUAGGGAAGAACAUAUGUGUAAGUAACUGUGCACAUCUUGACGGUACCUAAUCAGAAAGCCACGGCUAACUACGUGCCAGCAGCCGCGGUAAUACGUAGGUGGCAAGCGUUAUCCGGAAUUAUUGGGCGUAAAGCGCGCGUAGGCGGUUUUUUAAGUCUGAUGUGAAAGCCCACGGCUCAACCGUGGAGGGUCAUUGGAAACUGGAAAACUUGAGUGCAGAAGAGGAAAGUGGAAUUCCAUGUGUAGCGGUGAAAUGCGCAGAGAUAUGGAGGAACACCAGUGGCGAAGGCGACUUUCUGGUCUGUAACUGACGCUGAUGUGCGAAAGCGUGGGGAUCAAACAGGAUUAGAUACCCUGGUAGUCCACGCCGUAAACGAUGAGUGCUAAGUGUUAGGGGGUUUCCGCCCCUUAGUGCUGCAGCUAACGCAUUAAGCACUCCGCCUGGGGAGUACGACCGCAAGGUUGAAACUCAAAGGAAUUGACGGGGACCCGCACAAGCGGUGGAGCAUGUGGUUUAAUUCGAAGCAACGCGGAGAACCUUACCAAAUCUUGACAUCCUUUGACAACUCUAGAGAUAGAGCCUUCCCCUUCGGGGGGGCAAAGUGACAGGUGGUGCAUGGUUGUCGUCAGCUCGUGUCGUGAGAUGUUGGGUUAAGUCCCGCAACGAGCGCAACCCUUAAGCUUAGUUGCCAUCAUUAAGUUGGGCACUCUAAGUUGACUGCCGGUGACAAACCGGAGGAAGGUGGGGAUGACGUCAAAUCAUCAUGCCCCUUAUGAUUUGGGCUACACACGUGCUACAAUGGACAAUACAAAGGGCAGCGAAACCGCGAGGUCAAGCAAAUCCCAUAAAGUUGUUCUCAGUUCGGAUUGUAGUCUGCAACUCGACUACAUGAAGCUGGAAUCGCUAGUAAUCGUAGAUCAGCAUGCUACGGUGAAUACGUUCCCGGGUCU